rnacentral:rRNA from 1 species
UACGUAGGGAGCAAGCGUUGUCCGGAAUCAUUGGGCGUAAAGCGCGCGUAGGUGGCCACAUAAGUCCGUUGUGAAAGUCAAAGGCUCAACCUUUGAAAGCCGACGGAAACCGCGUGGCUAGAGUCCGGAAGAGGAGAGUGGAAUUCCUGGUGUAGCGGUGAAAUGCGCAGAUAUCAGGAAGAACACCAAUGGCGAAGGCAGCUCUCUGGGACGGUACUGACGCUGAGACGCGAAAAGCGUGGGGGAGCGAACAGG